rnacentral:rRNA from 1 species
GAUGAACGCUGGCGGCGUGCCUAAUACAUGCAAGUCGAGCGAACGGACGAGAAGCUUGCUUCUCUGAUGUUAGCGGCGGACGGGUGAGUAACACGUGGAUAACCUACCUAUAAGGCUGGGAUAACUUCGGGAAACCGUAGCUAAUACCGGAUAAUAUUUUGAACCGCAUGGUUCAAAAGUGAAAGACGGUCUUGCUGUCACUUAUAGAUGGAUCCGCGCUGCAUUAGCUAGUUGGUAAGGUAACGGCUUACCAAGGCAACGAUGCAUAGCCGACCUGAGAGGGUGAUCGGCCACACUGGAACUGAGACACGGUCCAGACUCCUACGGGAGGCAGCAGUAGGGAAUCUUCCGCAAUGGGCGAAAGCCUGACGGAGCAACGCCGCGUGAGUGAUGAAGGUCUUCGGAUCGUANAACUCUGUUAUUAGGGAAGAACAUAUGUGUAAGUAACUGUGCACAUCUUGACGGUACCUAAUCAGAAAGCCACGGCUAACUACGUGCCAGCAGCCGCGGUAAUACGUAGGUGGCAAGCGUUAUCCGGAAUUAUUGGGCGUAAAGCGCGCGUAGGCGGUUUUUUAAGUCUGAUGUGAAAGCCCACGGCUCAACCGUGGAGGGUCAUUGGAAACUGGAAAACUUGAGUGCAGAAGAGGAAAGUGGAAUUCCAUGUGUAGCGGUGAAAUGCGCAGAGAUAUGGAGGAACACCAGUGGCGAAGGCGACUUUCUGGUCUGUAACUGACGCUGAUGUGCGAAAGCGUGGGGAUCAAACAGGAUUAGAUACCCUGGUAGUCCACGCCGUAAACGAUGAGUGCUAAGUGUUAGGGGGUUUCCGCCCCUUAGUGCUGCAGCUAACGCAUUAAGCACUCCGCCUGGGGAGUACGACCGCAAGGUUGAAACUCAAAGGAAUUGACGGGGACCCGCACAAGCGGUGGAGCAUGUGGUUUAAUUCGAAGCAACGCGAAGAACCUUACCAAAUCUUGACAUCCUUUGACAACUCUAGAGAUAGAGCCUUCCCCUUCGGGGGACAAAGUGACAGGUGGUGCAUGGUUGUCGUCAGCUCGUGUCGUGAGAUGUUGGGUUAAGUCCCGCAACGAGCGCAACCCUUAAGCUUAGUUGCCAUCAUUAAGUUGGGCACUCUAAGUUGACUGCCGGUGACAAACCGGAGGAAGGUGGGGAUGACGUCAAAUCAUCAUGCCCCUUAUGAUUUGGGCUACACACGUGCUACAAUGGACAAUACAAAGGGCAGCGAAACCGCGAGGUCAAGCAAAUCCCAUAAAGUUGUUCUCAGUUCGGAUUGUAGUCUGCAACUCGACCACAUGAAGCUGGAAUCGCUAGUAAUCGUAGAUCAGCAUGCUACGGUGAAUACGUUCCCGGGUCU